rnacentral:other from 12 species
CAGGGUUCUUUAAUCAUGUUUCCCUAUAAGAACACUCAAUUUUCACGCUUUCUGUCUUCUUUCUUCCAGGGCUCUCCCCUUGCCCUAGGCUCUGGCCGUUGCGCCCGGCGGGGUCAACUCCAUGAUUAGCAUGGAGCUGUAGGAGUCUAAAUUGGGGACGCAGAUGUUUGGGACGUCACCUUGCAGUGUUAACUUGGCUCUCAUGAACCUCUUUGAUCUUCCACAAGGGGUAGGCUACGGGUGAAACCUCUUAGGCUAAUACUUCUAUGAAGAGAUGCUUUGGAUAGGGUAACAGCGGCGGAUAUUGGUGAGUUGUUAAGACAAAAACCAUUCAACGCCGGAGGACUGGCUCUCAUCCAGUGGAUGCAUUGAGUGGAUUGAUUGUCAGGGCUGUCUCUAGGUUUAAUCUCAAGACCUCUCUGUGCUUAGGGCAAACACCAUUUGGCCUUAAAUGGGAUCCUGUGAGAGGGGGUCCCCUCCAUUGACAGCUGGACUGUUCUUUGGGGCCUUAUGUGGUGUUUGCCUCUGAGGUACUCAGGGGCAUUUAGGUUUUUCCUCAUUCUUAAACAAUAAUG